UACGUAGGUGGCAAGCGUUGUCCGGAAUUACUGGGCGUAAAGAGCGCGCAGGCGGCUGGUCAAGUCCGAUGUGAAAGCUCCCGGCUUAACUGGGAAAUUGCAUCGGAAACUGAUCGGCUUGAAGGUGGGAGAGGGUAGUGGAAUUCCCGGUGUAGUGGUGAAAUGCGCAGAUAUCAGGAGGAACACCGGUGGCGAAGGCGGUUCUCUGGGCAUUACCUGACGCUGAGGAGCGAAAGUGUGGGAAGCGAACAGG
rnacentral:rRNA from 1 species